rnacentral:rRNA from 1 species
UGGGGAAUAUUGCACAAUGGGCGAAAGCCUGAUGCAGCAACGCCGCGUGAGUGAUGAAGGCCUUCGGGUUGUAAAGCUCUGUCUUUUGGGACGAUAAUGACGGUACCAAAGGAGGAAGCCACGGCUAACUACGUGCCAGCAGCCGCGGUAAUACGUAGGUGGCAAGCGUUGUCCGGAUUUACUGGGCGUAAAGGAUGCGUAGGCGGAUUUUUAAGUGAGAUGUGAAAACCCUAAGCUUAACUUGGGGACUGCAUUUCAUACUGGAAAUCUAGAGUGCGGGAGAGGAGAAUGGAAUUCCUAGUGUAGCGGUGAAAUGCGUAGAGAUUAGGAAGAACACCAGUGGCGAAGGCGAUUCUCUGGACCGUAACUGACGCUGAGGCAUGAAAGCGUGGGUAGCAAACAGGAUUAGAUACCCUGGUAGUCCACGCCGUAAACGAUGAGUACUAGGUGUAGGAGGUAUCGACCCCUUCUGUGCCGCAGUUAACACAAUAAGUACUCCGCCUGGGAAGUACGAUCGCAAGAUUAAAAACUCAAAGGAAUUGACGGGGUCAUAGCUG